AUUCAUCUGACGAGUCUUAAAUAAGACGAAACGCGCUUCCUGGAU
rnacentral:hammerhead_ribozyme from 1 species